UUGCGGACAGUGUCUGGUGGGUAGUUUGACUGGGGCGGUCUCCUCCUAAAGAGUAACGGAGGAGCACGAAGGUUGGCUAAUCCUGGUCGGACAUCAGGAGGUUAGUGCAAUGGCAUAAGCCAGCUUGACUGCGAGCGUGACGGCGCGAGCAGGUGCGAAAGCAGGUCAUAGUGAUCCGGUGGUUCUGAAUGGAAGGGCCAUCGCUCAACGGAUAAAAGGUACUCCGGGGAUAACAGGCUGAUACCGCCCAAGAGUUCAUAUCGACGGCGGUGUUUGGCACCUCGAUGUCGGCUCAUCACAUCCUGGGGCUGAAGUAGGUCCCAAGGGUAUGGCUGUUCGCCAUUUAAAGUGGUACGCGAGCUGGGUUUAGAACGUCGUGAGACAGUUCGGUCCCUAUCUGCCGUGGGCGCUGGAGAACUGAGGGGGGCUGCUCCUAGUACGAGAGGACCGGAGUGGACGCAUCACUGGUGUUCGGGUUGUCAUGCCAAUGGCACUGCCCGGUAGCUAAAUGCGGAAGAGAUAAGUGCUGAAAGCAUCUAAGCACGAAACUUGCCCCGAGAUGAGUUCUCCCUGACCCUUUAAGGGUCCUGAAGGAACGUUGAAGACGACGACGUUGAUAGGCCGGGUGUGUAAGCGCAGCGAUGCGUUGAGCUAACCGGUACUAAUGAACCGUGAGG
rnacentral:rRNA from 2 species